CAGACAUCCUGGAUGCGCCUGUCCUCUCCAAGCAGGCACAGUAUCCCAGGGGGUACAAGCUUCAUAUGCUGUCCCCAUUCCCUCCUCCUUGCUCUCCAGCAGCCUAUCUGCAUCUCUGCUGGGCUCCUCACACACACACUGCCUCCAGCAGCCUGACACCUCCAGACAAACCCACUCCUAAACCCUCCAUGGCUCAACUUAUCCCACAGUGGCACAGCACAACACCCACAACAUCCUGAGACCAGCAAGUGUCUUCCUACCUCCACUUCCACACUCCUCUGCAGCCCCAUCCAGGCUUAAGGCUGCCAAGUCCAGCUUCUGAGGUCCAAGCCUCCAGCCCCCAUCAAACCAGGAAUCUUCCUCCUCCUUCUCCCACGCCACCAAUCCCUGCCAGAUCAGAAGUUAUCUGUGCCACAAGAACAGCCCUUCUGCUGAGCUCACCUUCACCAGCCUAUGAAUCCCUCCUGACCCUUUCAGGCUCUUUUUUGAUCUGACUUCUAUUUGGAGAGCGGUCAGUCCCUGUCCCCUCCUCCCCUGCUAGUUUCCAACAGCUUCAGCUACUGCACUGCUUCGAAGUGCAGCCACCAGAUUGGCAGCUCUGAAAAUUAAAAGGCUUUCCAUUGCUCUGCGAGAUACAGAGCAGUUCAGACAACGCUGGCUGAUGCCAUUCGUGCACUGAGGCUCCAGCAAUUGUGUGGCAUCCACUAAAAUGGACUCAUGCUGGCUAAGAACAUUAAUGUGGCACACCUGGCCUUCCAUCCUACCUCUUGUGCAAAUCUUACUCUAUUUUCCCUCCACCCCGUUUAACUGCUAAAGCAUCAAUAACCAAACAAGUUGAAGACAAACCUCCCAUGAGCUUCCAGGUACUGUGAAUGGGAAAAGGUGCUCUGCAGAGAAUUCUUAAGCCUUACAAAUGGAACAAAGAUUCAUCCCUUUCUCUGUGCUCGCCUGCAGCCCAAGUGGGUGGGUGAGUAUAAAGAAGUCUUGCUGUCAGCUAACAACCCUGAACGCUCCCACCUGACCACCCCUCCCCAGUACCAAAGCAAGCAGUGCUUGCACACCCACACCCACAGGAUAUGUGCUUUCUACCCUUGGUCACCAGCUAGAAAGCUUCAGUUCAGGAGAGGAAGGUCUCCCCUCGCAGACUCGGAUCUGGAGCACGCUGGAGGUGCAAGCUGCUGCCUAGCAACAGAAGCACUCUGCAGGGAGGCCGGCCCAAGCCCCCGUCCUCCCGCUGCAAGAGGGAUCCUGUGCCCAGAGAAACAUCCUCAGAAGGAUGCGAACCCGAGUAAUUUCUCAGAAAGCCAUCCUGCACAUCGCCAGCUACAACCCCUGGUAAAUCACACACUCGCUCCUGAAGACCACUGCCUGCGCCUGGACAUAGUUUUGUCAGGCAACUGAGAUGCAGAAAAAUCCUGGGACAGAUUUCUGUAAGUGCACUUUAGGAUUUUACAGUGCCCCUGCUUAGCCUGAGUGAUGCUGUGUCGCUGGGUGUGCCAUUGUCACUCUUGCACAUGACUAUUGAGAGGCUGCAAACACUGAGCAGCACAGCAGUGAGAAGCUUAAAACCUAAACACCAGACAGCAUCGUCUUCAGGAGACCCUCACCAGUGAAAUCAACAUCCCCCCAGCACCCUGCCCUCAAGCCAGAGCAGAUGAGAAAAGCCAGAUCCUGCUCAGUGGCACACUGCUCACCUCAGCUACGCAUCAGCAUCUUUGCAAUUAUUGAUGUCAAAGCCAAGAAAACACUCGACUAUGCUUUUGGGUCUUUAUCACAUAUGCAAAGCUGACAAUUGGAAACACUGUCGUGUUACCUGCAGACAAAGCAAAUCUGAACUUGAUACCAUACAAGGACAGCAAAAGUAGCAACAUUUUUUGGCAUUUCUCUGAGUAUAACCAUCCUCUAAAGCCUCUGUUGGCUCAAGGAGACAAUGUUCAGCCACACUGACCUGCAAGGCCAAGAACAGCCAAACGUGGUGACUUUUCCCAGUCCCAGAUGUGGGGAGGACUCAGACACACUCAAGGUAUUCACACAUACAGUAAAUGAGCAAAAUUAUUGUAGAGCAGGACUGUCAAAAAGAUCAAUAAACAUUUUACUGCCUAUAUAAUUCUUUUAACU
rnacentral:lncRNA from 1 species